AUGCUACCGACAAAUAUGCUCAAUGCUGCAACCGGUGCUAUGCGGAGUCUGCAUGACAGUGUUCUUUCUUUGGAGAAGCGGCAUCUCAGGGAGAAGGAUGUGGCAUACCCAGUUUUCGCGGCCAAGGUGCCAGAGGGCAAGGGCUUUGUGGAUAACUCCAUCGGGCGUACGAUCAUCCUGCGUUUUGAUGACAUCCACGCUAUGUUGAACCUUCAUCCGCUGCACUACACCUUCGUUCGGCUAUUUUCGCUGAGUAUGGAGAUGCGGAUCAUUCGCGACAAGACCCCGGACAUCGUGAUAGUCGACCCCUUCUACAUGUGUGCCAAGAUCUUGGGCAGCGCUGGGGACCGGCAAGUCGCGAGUUCUUACCUCGAAGGCGUCAUUCUGGCAAACCAAGAUAAGGAUAACUUCCUCGUGCCUUACUUUCCCGAGUAA
rnacentral:rRNA from 1 species